rnacentral:rRNA from 1 species
UACAGAGGUCUCAAGCGUUGUUCGGAAUCACUGGGCGUAAAGGGUGCGUAGGCCGCACGGUAAGUCAGAGGUGAAAUCCCGGAGCUCAACUUCGGAACUGCCUCCGAUACUGCCGUGCUUGAGGACUGGAGAGGAGAUUGGAAUUCACAGUGGAGCAGUGAAAUGCGUAGAUAUUGUGAGGAACACUAGUGGCGAAGGCGAAUCUCUGGACAGUUCCUGACGCUGAGGCACGAAGGCCAGGGGAGCAAACGGG